GAUGAACGCUGGCGGCGUGCCUAAUACAUGCAAGUCGAGCGAACAGAUAAGGAGCUUGCUCCUUUGAAGUUAGCGGCGGACGGGUGAGUAACACGUGGGUAACCUACCUAUAAGACUGGGAUAACUUCGGGAAACCGGAGCUAAUACCGGAUAAUAUUUAGAACCGCAUGGUUCUAAAGUGAAAGAUGGUUUUGCUAUCACUUAUAGAUGGACCCGCGCCGUAUUAGCUAGUUGGUAAGGUAACGGCUUACCAAGGCGACGAUACGUAGCCGACCUGAGAGGGUGAUCGGCCACACUGGAACUGAGACACGGUCCAGACUCCUACGGGAGGCAGCAGUAGGGAAUCUUCCGCAAUGGGCGAAAGCCUGACGGAGCAACGCCGCGUGAGUGAUGAAGGGUUUCGGCUCGUAAAACUCUGUUAUUAGGGAAGAACAAAUGUGUAAGUAACUGUGCACAUCUUGACGGUACCUAAUCAGAAAGCCACGGCUAACUACGUGCCAGCAGCCGCGGUAAUACGUAGGUGGCAAGCGUUAUCCGGAAUUAUUGGGCGUAAAGCGCGCGUAGGCGGUUUCUUAAGUCUGAUGUGAAAGCCCACGGCUCAACCGUGGAGGGUCAUUGGAAACUGGAAACUUGAGUGCAGAAGAGGAAAGUGGAAUUCCAUGUGUAGCGGUGAAAUGCGCAGAGAUAUGGAGGAACACCAGUGGCGAAGGCGACUUUCUGGUCUGUAACUGACGCUGAUGUGCGAAAGCGUGGGGAUCAAACAGGAUUAGAUACCCUGGUAGUCCACGCCGUAAACGAUGAGUGCUAAGUGUUAGGGGGUUUCCGCCCCUUAGUGCUGCAGCUAACGCAUUAAGCACUCCGCCUGGGGAGUACGACCGCAAGGUUGAAACUCAAAGGAAUUGACGGGGACCCGCACAAGCGGUGGAGCAUGUGGUUUAAUUCGAAGCAACGCGAAGAACCUUACCAAAUCUUGACAUCCUUUGAAAACUCUAGAGAUAGAGCCUUCCCCUUCGGGGGACAAAGUGACAGGUGGUGCAUGGUUGUCGUCAGCUCGUGUCGUGAGAUGUUGGGUUAAGUCCCGCAACGAGCGCAACCCUUAAGCUUAGUUGCCAUCAUUAAGUUGGGCACUCUAGGUUGACUGCCGGUGACAAACCGGAGGAAGGUGGGGAUGACGUCAAAUCAUCAUGCCCCUUAUGAUUUGGGCUACACACGUGCUACAAUGGACAAUACAAAGGGCAGCUAAACCGCGAGGUCAUGCAAAUCCCAUAAAGUUGUUCUCAGUUCGGAUUGUAGUCUGCAACUCGACUACAUGAAGCUGGAAUCGCUAGUAAUCGUAGAUCAGCAUGCUACGGUGAAUACGUUCCCGGGUCU
rnacentral:rRNA from 1 species